rnacentral:misc_RNA from 1 species
GUAGGUGAACCUGCGGAAGGAUCAUUACAGAGAACAUGCCCUUCAGGGUAGAUCUCCAACCCUUUGUUUAUUUUACCAUGUUGCUUUGGCAGGCCCGUCUCACGACCGCCGGCUUUGGCUGGUCAGUGCCUGCCAGAGGACCUAAACUCUUAAAUUAGUGUCGUCUGAGUACUAUAAAAUAGUUAAAACUUUCAACAACGGAUCUCUUGGUUCUGGCAUCGAUGAAGAACGCAGCAUCUGACUGACUGGA